rnacentral:lncRNA from 1 species
UAAAAACACAUGAUUGACAUAUCUUUCAUGCGCGUCCGUGUGAAGAGACCACCAAACAGGCUUUGUGUGAGCAAUAAAGCUUUUAAUCACCUGGUGCAGGCGGGCUGAGUCCGAAAAGAGUCAGCAAAGGGAGAUAAGGGUGGGGCCGUUUUAUAGGAUUUGGGUAGGUAAAGGAAAAUUACAGUCAAAGGGGGUUUGUUCUCUGGUGGGCAGGAGUGGGGGUCGCAAGGUGCUCAGUGGGGGAGCUUUUUGAGCCAGGAUGAGCCAGGAAAAGGACUUUCACAAGGUAAUGUCAUCAGUUAAGGCAAGGACCGGCCAUUUACACUUCUUUUGUGGUGGAAUGUCAUCAGUUAAGGUGGGGCAGGGCAUAUUCACUUCUUUUGUGAUUCUUUAGUUACUUCAGGCCAUCUGGGCGUAUACGUGCAGGUCACAGGGGAUGCGACGGCUUGGCUUGGACUCAGAGGCCUGACAUUCCUGCCUUCUUAUUAAGAAAAAUAAAACAAAAUAGUGUUGAAGUGUUGGGGCGGCGAAAAUUUUUGGGGGGUGGUAUGGAGAGAGAGUGGACGAUGUUUCUCAGGGCUGCUUCAAGCGGGAUUAGGGGUGGUGUGGGAACCUAGAGUGGGACAGAUUAAGCUGAAGGCAGAUCUUGUGGUAAGGGGUGAUAUUGUGGGGUUGUUAGAAGAAACAUUUGUUGUAUAGAAUGAUUGGUGAUGGCCUGGAUACGGUUUUGUAUGAACUGAAAAACUAAAUGGAAUAAGGAGAAAAACAGGUAUAAAAAGUCUAAGAAUUGGGAGGACCUAGGACAUCUGAUUAGAGAGUGCCUAAGGAGAUUCAGCAUAGUCCUGCCACCAAAGAUUAUUUAGUUACUUCAAGAGUUAAGAGUGGCAGUUUGGGGAUAGCACGAGGAGAUAUCAGCUGUGAUGGCUUGGAUAAACAGUGUAAACUGGCAGUGUAAACAAGAGCAGGGCAUGUAUGAGUAGUUGAGAACAGAGAAUAGGAGUAUGACUAGACAGAAAAUAGUAGGGAUGACAAGUUUUUUUUGGGGGCACAGUCUAAGUUGGUCUGGUGUCUGGAAUGAGACUGGGGCCUAAUAAAAAGGAGCAUCUAUACAGGAGCUUAAAUGGGCUGUACCUUGUAGCAUUCCAAGGACAGGCCUGAAUUCUGAGAAGGGAAAGUGAUAAAAGUAUUGUCCAGUCCUUUUUGGUGGCUGAGCUUGGUGAGGUGAGUUUUUAAAAGACCUUCAGUCCAUUCUACCUUUCUUGAAGAUGGAGGACCGUAAGGGAUAUAAAGGUUUCACUGAAUACUAAGAGCCUGAAAAACUGCUUGGCUGAUUUGACUAAUAAAGGCUUAUCUGUUAUCAGACUGUAUUGAGGUGGGAAGGCUAAACUGAGGAAUUAUGUCUGACAGAAUGGAAGAAAUGACUGCGGAGGCCUUCUCAGACCCUGUAGGAAAGGCCUUUACUUAUUCAGUGAAAGUGUCUAUUUAGCCUAAGAGGUAUUUUAGUUUCCUGACCCGGGCAUGUUGAGUAAAGCUAAUUUGCCAGUCCUGGGUAGGGGCAAAUCUUCGAGCUUGAUGUGUAGGGAAGGGAGGGGGCCUGAAUAAUCCUUGAGGAGUAGUAGAAUAGCAGAUGGAACACUGAGAAGUUAUUUCCUUGAGGAUAGAUUUCCACGAUGGAAAGGAAAUGAGAGGUUCUGGGAGGCGGGCUAGUGGCUUGUACUAUAGCAUAGCCUGCCUUUGCUGGUAUGUGGCGAUUAGGCCUGGUGGAACUGCCAUCAAUAAAUCAAGCGUGAUCAGGGUGAGGAACAGGAAAGAAGGAAAUAUGGGGAAAUGGGGUGAAUGUCAGGUGGAUCAGAGAGAUACAGUCGUGGGGGUCAGGUGUGGUAUCAGGAAUAAUGUGGGAGGCCAGCUUGAAGUCCGGGCCAGGAACGAUGGUAAUUGUGGGACUUAACAAAGAGUGAGUACAGCUGAAGGAGCCAGGAGCAGAAAGUAUAUGCGUCAGGUAUGAGGAAGAAAAUAGAUUUUGGAAGUUAUGAGAAAUGUAGAGAGUGAGUUGAGCAUAGUUUGCAAUUUUGAGGGCCUCUAAAAGUAUUAAAGCAGCGGCAGCCGCUGCUUGCAGACAUGAGGGCUAGGCUAAAACAGUAAGGUCAAGUUGUUUGGACAGAAAGGCUACAGGGUGCGGUCCUGGCUCUUGUGUAAGAAUUCUGACCACACUAACCAUGCCUAGGAAGGAAAGGAGUUGUUGUUUUGUAAGGGAUUGAGGUUUGGGAGAUUAAUCGGACACGAUCAGCAGGGAAAGCACGUGUGUUUUGAGAAUUAUGCCGAGAUAGGUAACAAUUGAGGAAGAAAUUUGGGCUUGAUUGAAGUAACGGGGGCUGUCUGUGAGCUUUGUGGCAGUACAGCCUAGGUAAUUUGCUGAGCUUGAUGGGUGUCAGGGUCAGUCCAAGAGAAAGCAAAGAGAGGCUGGGAUUAAGGGUGCAAAGGAAUAGUAAAGAAAGCAUGUUUGAGAUCCAGAACAGAAUAAUGGAUUGUGGAGGGAGGUAUUGAGGAUAGGAGAGUAUAUGGGUUUGGCACCAUAGCAAAACAAUUUGGUUGCUAAGGCGCAGAUCCUGAACUAACUUGUAAGGCUUGUCUGGUUUUAGGACAGGUAAAACGGGGGAAUUGUAAGGAGAGUUUAUAGGCUUUAAAAGGCCAUGCUGUAGCAGGCGAGUGAUAACAGGCUUUAAUCUUUUUAAAGUGUGCUGUGGGAUGGGAUAUUGUUGAGUGGGGUAAGGGUGAUUAGGUUUUAAUGAGAUGGGAAGGGGUGCAUGAUUGGUCGCCAAGGAGGGAGUAGAGGUAUCUUAUACUUGUGGGUUAAGGUUGGGGGGAUACAAGAGGAGGACACAAAGGAGGCUUUGGAUUGGGAAGGAAGGCAGCAAUGAGAUGUAGCUAUAAUCCAGGAAUAGUCAGGGAAGCAGAUAAUUUAGUUAAAGUGUCUCAGCCUAAUAAGGGAACUGGGCAGGUGGGGAUAACUAAAAAGGAGCGCUUUAAAGAGUAUUGUCUAAGUUGGCACCAGAGUUGGGGAGUUUUAAGAGGUUUAGAAGCCUGGCCGUCAAUACCCACAACAGUUAUGGAGGCAAGGGAAACAGGCCCUUGAAAAGAAGGUAAUGUGAAAUGAGUAGCCUCCGUAUUGAUUAAGAAGGGGACAGGCUUACCUUCCACUGUGAGAGUUACCCAAAGCUUGCCGUCCAUGAUGGUCUAGGGCGCUUCCGAGGUGAUCGGGCAGUGUCAGUCUUCAGCCGGUAAGCCAAGAAGGAGUCAGUCAGAGAGCCUUGGGCCAGAGUUCCAGCAGCUCUGGGAGUGGCUGCCAGGUGCAAAAGUCCUCAGCGAAAGACAUUCAGAAAAUAAUUCACAAUAUUUUCUUCAACCAGCAGUCUUUGAAACAAGUUGAUUUCACAAAAGACUUGCCGAAAAAGAGAUUUCGAAGGGCAUCACAAGCAUUCUUCUGAACUUCCAAAACUCUGUGGCCCAAAAGGCAUGGAUGGGUGUUUACAUCAUUUUUUACAACAGUGGAGUUUGCACUAUUGCUUUGAAAAUCCUUGCUUGACAGCAUUCCAGGCACACAUUAGGAACAGACAGUCCACCCACCAGGCACAUUUACUUCUUGUGCCAGAACUCCAUCUGUAUUUCGAAACUGCUGGUAGGCCUCAUCCAGUCAGCUGAGACCUGAAUUAAACAAAAUGCCUGAAUAAGAGGGAAUUUCCUCCUGCGUGACUGCCUUGAGGUGGAACAUCAGUGUUUUUGCUGCCAUCAGACUCAUACUGAAACGCUGGUCUUUCUGGAUCCCAAGCCUCUAGGCCUUUGGACUGGAACUGCACCAUCAGCAUUUCUGUGUCUCCAGCUUGUCAACUGCAGAUCUGGGGACUUGUCAGCCUUCAUGAUGACGUGAAUAAUGAAACAAAUGAUGAUACAUCCACACCACAGAAUCCUACUCAGCAAGAAAAAUAAACUAUUACUGCCUGCACAAAUUGGAUAAACCUCAAGGGAGUUACUCUG